rnacentral:lncRNA from 1 species
AAAAAUGAAAAUAAAUAUAACUCAUAUAUACAUAACUUGUGAAAUCGACGAUUGGCGCUGUUGAACAUAAUCUAUAUCAUUUGAAGUAUUUAAAAAUAUCAAAUUUCAAAUAUUUUCAACAUCAUUUACCUAAUGAUCAAAGGGUUUCAAAAUUUGUAAUUUUAAUGGUCGAUAUCAGAAGUUUUCUCGUUAAACGGUGUAAAACUAUUCAAAUCAAUUGAAUUUUGGUUAGAAAAUUCUUUAAACUAUUUAGAACAAGAUCUACACUCUUGGUCUUGAUUACAAAAUUACUUUCAUCACUUUUUAGAGAAUAUUCAUUUCCAGCCGUUCAUUUUUACGUCCACUAGAUGAACAAGAGAACAAUAUCGAAAAGGUAUGAAAUUUGAUUGCUAGAUACUUCGAGUGGUAUAGAUCAUAUUUAACGGUGCCGAUCGUCAAUUUGGAAACUCCAUCAUCGAAAACGAAUGGGUGGCAAUGGAGCCCGCUUGCUACCGAUAGUAUUUCAGCUCAACUCUCUCUCUCUCUCUCUCUCUCUCUCUCUAUAUAUAUAUAUAUAUAUAUAUAUAUAUAUAUAUAUAUAGAGCAGGGCUACUGUGCUCUCAGGAGCACAGAGGCCUCCGUGCUCUUGAGCCGUUUCAAUGAUGGAGUUUCCGAAUCGACGAUCGGCUCCGUUAAACUUGAUCUAGUGUAUUUGAAGUUUCUAGAAAAUAAUUUUUGUGAUUUUUCGAUAUCAUUUAUCUGGCAAUCGAAAAGAUUCAAAAUCAAUAAUUUUUAACGGCUGAAAAUAAAAAUCCUAUAAAAAGUUGUUAUAUAGCACUAAAAUUUUCGAUCAGAAAUAUUGAUCUUGUUGUAGAUAGUAUAAAGAAUUUUGUAUCAAAAUUUCAUCUGAUUCGAAUACUUCUACAUCGUUAAACUUGAAAACGGCAGAUAUCAAUCAUUAAAAAUUAUGGAUUUUGAAUUCUUUCGAUCACUAGGUAAAUGAUAUCAAAAAAUGGCAAAAAAUAUUUUCAAGAAACUUCAAAUGCGCUAGAUCAAGUCUAACGGAGUCGAUCGUCGAUUCGGAAACUCCAUCAUCAAAAACGGCUCAGGAGCACGGAGGCCUCUGUGCUCCUGAGAGCACAGCAGCCCUGCUCUCUAUAUAUAUAGGCUAGCGCUACUCUACUCUUAUAAGUAUAGAGCACUCUAAAUAGUUUAAAAAUGAACGGCUGAAAAUAAAAAUCUCAUAAAAAAUGAUGAUAAAAGACUACUUGAAUUUAAAAUUAGAGGUUCUGAUUUUACUCUAAAUAGUGAAAAGAAUUUUCUAUAAAAAUUUCAUCAGAUUUAGAUUGUUUUACAAUGUUAAAUUCACAAAUGCAUCACAUCUACCAUUAAAUUUGUCAAUUUUGAGACAUUUUGAUCACUAGCCAAAUAAUGCUGAAAAAUUAUGAAAUAUAGUUUUCGAAUACUUUUAAUAGUGUAGAUUAAGUCUAACGGAGCCGAUCGUCAAUUUGGAAGCCGGAUUAUUGAAAACAACUUGGUAGCAUGCAGGCCUUCGUGCUACCGAUAGUAUAUCAGCCCCCUCUCUCUCUCUCUCUCUCUCUCUCUCUCUUUCUAUAUAUAUAUAUAUAUAUAUAUAUAUAUAUAUAUAUAUAUAUAUAUAUCGAAAGAGAUCAAGGAAGAGCGUUGGUCUCAUAUUUAUAGAAAAAUAACAUGAAAAGUAAAUUACACUCUAUAUCCUCAAACUAUAGGGCUCAAGUGAUAUUUUAGUACUUAAACUUUAAUUCGUUGUAACACAAGCUAGAGUUAUCAUACAAUGCAAAACUAAAAACUUCAAUCGGAUUAAGCGCUAUGAUAUUAUCUCACAAGAAAAGAACUAUUAUAUAAUCUUGUUUUUCGGCAUGUACAACAUAGAGAAAACUUUUUAUGUAAUUAAGAUACAUCUAACGUAGGAUCGAAUACCAAUUAAAGACCAACCAAAUAUUAUUAUCUUAUAUGAAAAUAAAUGAUGAAACUUGUUUUCAUAUGUUUUCAAUUUGGAAGUUAUCUAUUUGCUCUUAAUUCGGUCACUAUAUUUUUUAUAUAUCUCAACAGGACUAGUCAAUGAUAAGUUUCAAAUAGAAUUUGGAUUGAAAAGUAAGUUUUUAUUUCUUUUGUUUCUAAAGUUGUCCUUGAACCUGAUAACUUCUUGAAUCUGAGAUCUAUUUGUUAAAUAAUGUGAAAUAAUGAUUUAUAUUCAAUAGCUUAGAGAAUGAUGUUUUUAAUUUUUAUAUAAACAAUUCGAAAACAGUAUGUAAAUUUAUUAACACGCCAAUAAUAGUUGGUGUUGUACUUGGGGAGUAAAAAAAAAAAGAAAAAAGAUUUGGAUCCAACGGUGAAAAGCCAGGACACGUGUCAUUUUGUGGCUGGAGAUUCCUUUCCGGCUCCCACUUGUUCUGAGUUUUUGACCAAGAAAGAGAAUCUUGUACCAUUUUGGGUUAAUUUCACUGGUACCCUUCAAAAAAUUUAUAAUUUCUUAAAUACCCUUACAAAAUUAGUAUUAUCAUAAUUUCUCCUCUAAAUAUAUAGAUUCUUUUAAAUCUACCCUUAUUUGCAAACUCCGUUAAAUUUAAAUGGGAUUAAAAAUUACUUACCAAUUUUACCCUUGAUCCUUGAGUGUUGAAGGUUAUAGUGAGAAAAUAUAUAUUCAACCCCCUCAACUACAGGCUAUUUUGAAGAAGUUUUCUAGUUUUUUUUUCUGAAUAAAGACCUAUUCAGUUUUUAUUUAUUUCAUUUAAAAUAAUUUUAUUAAUUAAAUUAAAUAUUUUGUUCAAAAUCAAACACUCCAUUAGCAACUAAUUAUUAAAUCUAGAAUUACACGCAGUUGAAUGAAAAUUUAAUUGUUUCAUCAAAUUUAACGGCUUUAACUAUAUAUUUUUAUUUAAAGACAUUAUAGAUUUCAUAGUUAGUUGCUAAUGGAGUGUUUUAAUUUUGAAUAAUAUAUGUAUGUAAUUUAAUUCAUGGAGUUAAUUUAAAUAAAAAAAAUAAAAAAUGAAUGGGUUUUUUAUACAGGAAAAAAAAAUUAGGGGCCUUCUUCAAAAUAGCCUAUAGUUGAGGGGGUUGAAUAUAUAUUUUCUCACUAUAACCUCCAACACCUUUCAAGGAUCAAGGGCAAAAUCGGUAAACAGAGUUUGUAAAUAAGGAUAGAUUUCAAAGAAUGUAUAUAUUUAGAGGGGUAAUUAUGAUAUUACUGAUUUUCUGAGGAUAUUUAUGAUAUUAUCAAUCUUUUGAAGGGCACAAGUGAAAUUAACCCUACCAUUUUAAUUAGGAAAAACUUCAAAAAACCCCCCUGUGGUUUCGUGCAUUCUCACUUUGCUACCCUGUGGUUUAAAACGUAUCAAUUUACCCCCUUGUGGUUUCAUUUUUAUUUUUUCGGAAGCUUUUUCGUUAAUAUUUCGUUAAAUUAUAUACAAAAAACUUCAGAUAACCAUCUAUAUUUAUCGAAUAGUCAAUUUAGUAUCCUUUAAUUUUAACUUUGUCACUGAUUUAAAAAAAUAAUAAUAAUAAAAUUGAUAACAAAAAGAUAAAAACGAAACCACAUGGGGGCAAAUUGAUACGUUUUAAACCACAUGGUAGCAAAGUGAGAAUGCACGAAACCACAGGGGGGGUUUUUGAAGUUUUCCGUAAUUAAUUAACUUGGAUUCCUUUCCACAUAUUUUUAUUAUUAUUUAACGUUUCUCAGAAUAUUCCUAUAAUAUGCGAGAGUUUUAUUAAUUAAUGCACGUAAUUUGAGGCAUUGCAUAAAUUCAUCAAUAUACUAACAAUGUAUAGUAUAUAUAUUUUUUGAAUAUUAUUCAUCCCAUUCUUGUAAAAAUAAGCAAUCACUGAAUAUUAUAUUUUCGAAAGAGGGUGACUAGUGUUUCAUGAAAUAUAGAAAUUUUUUUUAAAAAAAUACUUGUUUUUAUUCAAACCAAAUGAAUAGAAAAUAAAAAACAUAUAUAUAAAAAGUUAUUUAAAAAAAAAGAUUUCACAUUUUUUCGAGGAACCAAAUAUCCCUUUUUAGGGCUUGUUUGCUUCGCCGUAAGUGAGAAGGGGGAAGGUAAUUUUCGACGAAAAUUGAUCAAUUUCGCUGUUUGGUUCAUCGUAAUAUUUGUACGAUCGAAAGUUCAGUUUACUCAAAAUACCGAAAUUGACUUCGCUCUCGCGGAGCGAAGUCAAUUUUGGUAAAGUGAAGAGAGGGAGAAAAAAUCAUAAAAUAUUAGUGGAGAAUUUAAUUAAUUACGGUGACUUGUUUAGGGUUUCUCUCUCUCUAAUUGUAUUUUAUCCAAAUAUAUUUAAUUGUGGUAGUAAUUAAAUUUUUUAUUUCGAUUGCAUAUUUAAAAUAUGAUAAAGUUUGAUUAGUUAAGUUUCAAUAUAUCUUUUAUCUAAUUUACACAUUUAAAAUACAACGAAAAUUAGUUUGUUAAAUGUUAAUAAUUCUUUAACUUUAGAGUUUUAUUUGUUGUAUUAUUAUAAUUAUACACAAAAAAAGUAAUAUAAUUAUUUAAAAUUUUAUUUUAUAAAUAUAUAGAAAUAUAAUUAUACUAUUUUUUAUUUAUUUUUUAUAAUUUAUUACAAAAGAGGCAAUAAUGUUAUAUAGGAGGUAAGUUUAUCAGGGCUGUGGGGGAUUAAAUAAUUUUUGAUGAAACAAAUAGAGGAGAUGGAGAAUUACACUUUUUACGUCAAUUUAUUUUCUGCCAAAUAAAUAGUAGAACUGACAUAAUUUCACUUCCACAGCUAUAGAAACAAAUGACGGAGGUGAAGUAAUUUUUACCCGAACUCUAAUUCAAUCUAAAGCUCAUUUCAACCCAAAGGCUAUUUACCUUGAAACAAACCGGCCNAUUUUCUGCCAAAUAAAUAGUAGAACUGACAUAAUUUCACUUCCACAGCUAUAGAAACAAAUGACGGAGGUGAAGUAAUUUUUACCCGAACUCUAAUUCAAUCUAAAGCUCAUUUCAACCCAAAGGCUAUUUACCUUGAAACAAACCGGCCCUAGAAAAAAAUUUCCAUGGAUGAAAUUUUUUUUCAGUUUUUCAUCCUUCUAGCCAUAAGAAAAACUAGAAUUUUUUUUUUCAGAUUUUAUAUUAAAAAAUCAAUUAUUUCCAUUUUUUGAAAAAAAACAGAAAAUGAAAAUAAUUUUUUUUUUUCAAAAUUCGAAAAAUGUUUUUUAAGAAAAUUAACUUUCUUUGAGAUCAAACGGACCAAAAAAAUUAGAAAAAAAAAGCAUUCCAUAAAAAAACCAAAAAAAUCAGAGAAAAAAAAAAGNUAGAGAGAGAGAGAGAGAGAGAGAGAGAGAGAGAGAUAGCAUGCUAUCCGUUUCGUUUAUUUCAUUUAGAAAUAAACUUAGCUAAAAAUAUGAAUUAAUUAGGAUUCGAAUUCGAGACCUCGAGUAUCAACCAUCAAAUUUUUUACCACUUACGUUAGGGACGGUCCGUAAACCUGUUAGCUACCGUUUGGUUCGGGGUUAAGAUGUGGAAUAACCUCUUAACCCCGAAGUUAUUCCCAAAUACUCAAUUUGGGGGGCGAGAUUAGCUAAUCCUACCCACCCCAACCAAACACUAUUUUCUAUUUAUAAUAAUUUACUAUUCUUUUUAUCUCAUUUACUCCAACUAAACACUAUUUUAUAUAUAUCUGAAUUAAAUUCAAUUCUUAAUUAAAUACAAAAUUAUUCUAAUUCCAUCAUAAUUCUGAACUUAACUUUAUUCUCGGAAUAAUAAUUUUUUACUUAAUUCCGAAGCAAAGGGUAGCUCAAAGUGGGGUAAUAGUAGGGAGUGUGCGUGUGCGCGUGUGUGGUCAAACUGAAAAAGUAGUGGUCCACGGGGAAAAGUGAGGUGCGUGCACACGUGUCGAAACGACAGGGGGGUGUGGCCUGGGGCCCCGCAAAAUUAUAAUAUAACGACGACGAAGAAUUAGGUCGUACAUAUAUGCAUGCAUGGACGUGUCCCCGAGCGGGCCCGACACGUUACCCACGAGGCUCCCCGCGCGCCCGCCGCGUGGAUCUCGCACGAAUUUCCAAGCAGUAGUAGUACGCGCCCAACCAAUAACAACAACAACAACAAACAUGUACGUCAUGGAGAAGAUGAUGAUGAUGAUGAUGAUGAUAAAUAAUGGAGCAGAUAAAAUGCGUGAAUAAUAAUAAACACAAAUUUAUUGCUUUGUUUAUGCAGUGUAGUGUGGUGGGGUGUGGGCGGGAGCCAAGUUUUGUUGUGUUGUUAUUGUUGUUGUUGCUGUUGCUGCUGCUGUUGCUGUAAGUAGUGGUGGUGGCGGCCGCGGCGGCACGAAUUUGGAUGCAUGGCGAAUGCUGGACACCUCACCAUGCAGGCCAGCAGGCGAGUACUGGACGCGAUUGAGCUGUCAAGUGCAGUUGGUUGGUACCUCAAUUUCUUGCUGACUCAGAGGUCGCAAGUUAGAUAUAUCUUUUAGUAAUACACUAUUUUCUAUCGGGUUUUUCGGAAAAAGAAAUGCUUUGGGUAUCACGCUAGCUUUUGAAUAUUCCACCAUAUUACUAAUGUGGUGGCAUACAUACGUAGAAAAGUUGGGGUUUAGGGUUUAAGGUAUAAUGAUGUAAUGCUUAGGAUUUAAUAACAGUUAUAGGGUUGAGCUAAAAUAUUAUUAAUAGUAUUUUGACUUUUUUGCUAUCAAUUUUUUAGCCGUUAAAUCUAUAUUUUAAUCAAUUUCAUAUUUUUGAUCAUACUAUUCAACCAAUCACCUACUCAACUCUAGGAGGACCACUAUUAUUCAAACCCUGUAAUUUUUCAUCUAAGGGUUAAAACUCGAUAGCAAAAAAGCUCGAAUACUAUUAUUAGUAUUCCAUGCCAAUUCUUUGGAUAUAAUAAUUAUAGUUUAGAAUAUUAAAGGAAAUGCGUACCUAGGGGUACCCGUAGAGCCCUCUUUUGGAAAAAUAAUUAAUAUUCAAUGACGGCUUAUUUCUUGGACUGUAAACAAAUUUUAAGUGAAAAAUAACUUUCAGUUAAACUGAAAUUCAGAUAAAAUUUUGUUUAAUAGAAAGUUAAUGACUUCCGCUACUAUAAUUUUAUUUUAUUACAUCAACUUAAUUACAUCAGAAAUCAAAUUAUUGUAAACUAUCUUUUAGGAAAAAACAUAUUCCUUACGUGAAUUAUGGACUAUUUUGGUCAACUAUUCAAUUUUUAAAAAUUUUAAUUUUACCAGCUAUAAAAUCUUUCAAUUUAUUUGAUUUGAGUUAGUCGACGAUACUUUGAAUUCACAAUCUGAGUGUGUCAUUUAUUUUUACGGAUUUAGUUAGUAUGCUUCAUGCACUAUUUCUCACAACUGUAAAUUUUUUAAAAUAAAUAGUUAGUUUAAAUAUUGAAGUCAAAAUGCCGUUAAUUGAUUCAAAUCAAAUAAAUUGAAAGGUCGGACUGCAAAUCAAAAUUUUGAAAGGUUAAGUAGUCAACUCAAAAUAGUCCCUAGUUAAGAAAAGUUUUGUACCUUUUUACUUAUAUUUUAUUGCAACAAGCUUGUGCCAUUGUAAUAAUUACGAUCAUAUUGGUUAGCCAUUUAUUACCGUAAAAUCUAUAGCAAUGAUUUACAAUAAUUCUUAUUUAUAGUAAUUAAAAAUUGUUAUUGUGACUAGUAGUUAUUAAUUGCAAUAAUAUUUAUUGUUGGAAAAGAAUAAAUUUCUAGUAAUGUUUGGAAUUAUAAUUAUCCGAUAUGUUAUUUAUUUUAUGAAAAUAUUAAUAUUACUAAAUGAAGAAAAAAAUUACAGUAAUUAAUUUUUUAUUAUUUUUCUUUUUUUUUUCCCUCUCCUAAUUGACUUGAAUAGGUUGGAUAAAGAGAAAGAAGAUUAACCAAAUAAGCCAACCAUAAUUUGUAAUAAGAAGGCAAACUCGAUAAUUAAUAAUCAAUAUUAUCUAACAAUAUAUGUAUUCAACUAAUUAAAUAAUUAUUAUAUGAUUUUUAAACUUAUUUUCUUUUACGGUUCAACUCCGUUCGACUCUGGUCGAACUGCUGACACUUAAACUGCUUUCCUUACUUGGUUUGAUCAUUGGUUUGGUUUUCUGAACAUUGCCUUCGAUUGUUUCAUUAUGGUUUUCAGGGAUGUCACAUGAAAUUGCCAACAAUUUUAGAUUGAAGCGAAACAAUUUAAGAGUGAACUUCAAAAGCAUUCUAGGACUAAAGUGAAACUCAGCAAAAAGUUCAAUCUACACAAAUCUUAAAGCAAGUCAAAUGUGGUAGAUCUCUACAAAAAAUUUGUUCCAAGUAAUGUUUCCUGAUGGUGAUGGCUUAGGAGGGGGCUCAGCUAGCCUAGGGACCUGGAGAUGAUGUGAAAUUUGUCUAAAAUAAGUGGAUGUCAAGGAAAAGUAUACAGUAUGCUCAAAAGAGAUUGACCAGAUUGAUAGCUAGCUAGUAAGUCAUGAUUUAGGCCGUAAGAAAUUAUGUUAUUUUUAGGAAGGCAAACGCUAGCUGGUCCCCUACUAUCUAGCUAGCGCCUAACAAAAUCAGACAAUUGGUGAUCCAAUGUGAGGAACUUCGCUCGGUUAAGCGACACUGCCUUAAACGCAAAUAUAACCUUUUUUCUUUUCUUUUCUUUUCUUUUUGGCACUUUCUGCAGAGGUCUAUUACCUUACUCAUGUAGCUAUAUACAUCUCUUUAAUAAAAGAUGCAAGUAGCACGCUGCCGUUUUCUCAAAAAAUUCUUCUAGAUUAUGCAUGCUGACAUAUUAACAGUUUGAAAAAUAAAUAUUCUCACGGACUUGUGGUAGUUCUUGAAGUAGAAUAUCUAUCACGGGAAAUGCUCCAGCCUCUAGGACACCGGACCCCGGCAAAGGGUCUCAUAUAUAUAUAUAUAGAGAGAGAGAGAGAGAGAGAGAGAGAACUACUAUACUUUUAUGAGUACGAUCGAUUUCGUAUACAUAAAUCGUCUUAAAUGAUAGAGCUUUCGAAUCGACGAUCCAUACCGUUAAUAUUAUCUAGAGUAUUUAAAAUUUUUAAAAAUUAAAUUUUAUAAUUUUUCGACAUUAUUUAUCUUACAAUCAAAAUGUCACAAAAUUGACAAUUUUUAACAGCCAGUAUGGAUACUUGCUAGUUUAACAGUGUAAAAGUUUUGGAACAAGUUGAAUUUUUGAUAGAAAAUUUUAUUCACUAUUUAGAUAAAUAUUAAUACCUCCGAUAUUAAAUUGAAAGAUUCGAUAAUCUAUUUUUAGAACGUCGUUUGAUUUUGAUCGUUCAUUUUAUACCGGCUUGAUGGACUUUAUUAUGAUUUCACAAAAUCACGAAACUUAAUUUUUAAAAAUUUCAAAUACUCUAAAUCCUAUUUACCAAAGUGAUUGUCAAUUCGGAAGAGCCAUUAUCCAAAAUAACUUAUGAGUACGAACAGCUCCAUACUCAUAAGAGUAUAGUUAGGGCUGGCAAAUGAGCGAGCCGGCUCGCAUUCGACUCGCGUUCGACUCGAUAUUUGGCUCGCUCGAGCUCGACUCGAAAUUAAAUGAGCCGAGCUUGAACAAAAAAAAGGCUCGAAAUUCAUUUCAAGCCAAGCUUGAGUAUUACUUGGCUCGUUCGAAUUAAGCUCGAAAAGCUCGAAAAGCUCGAAUAUAUAUAUAUAUAUAUAUAUAAUAUAUUAUAUAUAUAUAUAUAUAUAUAUAUAUAUAUAUAUAUAUAUAUAUAUAUAUAUAUAUAUAGUAGAGCUACUAUGCUAUCGAAAGUAUAGAGAUCUGGUGCUUUCGAUUUUUUGAUUCUUAGAUCAAUCCCUUUAAUCGUUUUUAUCUUUGGAUUAAUAUUAUUAUUACCUUGUAGGGACCACUCAAUCCUAAAAAGAGUAUUAUUAUUCUAGGGAGACCGCAAUCAUCCCAACCAUACAAUUUUUAAUCAAAGGGUCAAAAAUUCAAAAACAUCAAAUCCUCUUAGCAUAGCAGUUCUACACUAUAUAUAUAUAUAUAUAUAUAUAUAUAUAUAUAUAUAUAUGUUAAAAAUAUAUAAAUAUAAUAUACUUUAAUUAUAUAUAGGCUGAGUGAAUAAUCUGAGUUUAGUUAAAAUUGGACCAAUUUUGUUGGCCCAUAAAAACAACCCAAUAGACAAAUAAAAUAGCAAUAUGUUUCUUUCUUUCUUUCUUUCUUUCUUUCACAUAGCUCUAAAUUUUCAAUAUGUUUCUCUCUUUCUCUUUCUGUCUCUCACCUAAGUGGCCAAGCCGGAAGCCUCUAACUUACAAGUAACAUCAUAUGCCUGCCGUUGUCUACCUUGCUAUUAAUUGUAUGCUUAAAAAUAUACAUAAUAUUUUAAAGUAAAAAAUUAUUAUUCAUAUAAAAUUUUAAUUUUAGUUAUAUAUGAUUGGAUAGUUUAAUCCAAUAUUUAUCUAUAUAAUUUAUUUAUUUUUGACUGUAUAAAUGAAAAUGAAUAAUAUAGAGUAAGGUGGAAGAAAAGACAUGUGAGGCUGAAAAAAUUAGAUAUUCAACUCAUAAAUUAUUUUUUUUCAUAUUAUAAUACUAUAUUUCAUAUAAUUAUUUUGUAUUUUGAACUAUUAGACAUAUUUUUGUAUCAAAUUAUAAAUAAUAUUGUUCUAUACAAAUUAAACUAUUGAUCGUAUAAUGUUGAGAAUUUCAAGCGGCUCGUUUAGGACUGGAGCUCGCUUGACUUGAAAUUAGGCUUGCUCGAGCUCGGCUCGAAUUAAUUUCAAUCCAAACUUGAGCUUAAAUUUAGGCUCGAAAUUAAUUUCAAGUCGAAUUUGAGCCGAGAUAAGCUCGCUUGAGCUCGGCUCGUUUCCACCCCUAAGUAUAGUAGCUCUACUCUCUCUCUCUCUCUCUCUCUCUCUAUAGGUUAAUUUUUUGAAUACCCUUCCAACUAUCCCUAAUUACAUAGAUAUCCCUAAAAAAUUAUCAAUAUCAAAAGUUUCUUUUUUAACUUUUAAAAAAUUAUCCAAAUUAUCGUUAUCAAUUAACCCCAUUUAAAAUUUGGUUGUUUGCUUGUUUCAUCGACGAAGCGUUUUAGCAUUUAGAGUUUAGAAUUGUAGAGUUUUAUGGUUUUAAUGUUUUAGGAUUUUAGAGUUUUACGAUUUAGGUUUUCAUGAUUUUUAGGGUUUUAGACUUUUUUCAGUUUUAAGGUUUUAGCAUUUAGGAUUUGAUCUUUCGUAGUAACCAAAAUAUUAACUAUAAGUUGCUAAAAAGGGCAAACUAGCCAUUUAUAUUACUUUAUGAUCAAAAAAAUCUCAAAAUUGAUAACUUUUAACGGCCGGUAUGGAAUAGUUAUUAGUUUAAUGGUGUAAAAGGUUGAAAUUGAUUGAAUUUUUAAUAAAAAAUUCUAUUCAAAGAAGUUUGAUCUUAAAUUUAAGGAUCCGAUCAUUUAUUUUUAGAUUAUUGUUCAAUUUUGACCAUUUAUUUUAUUCCCGCUUGAUGGACUUUAUUAUAAUUUUGAAAAAUUAUAAAAAUUUAUUUUCUAAAAGUUUUAAAUACUCAAAAUUAUACUUAACGGUGUAAAUAAUCAAUUCGGAAGCUCCAUCAUUGAAAACAACUUAUAAAUAUAAAUAGCUCUAACUCAUAAGAAUAUAGUAGCCCUACUCUCUCUCUCUCUCUCUCUCUCUAUCUCUAUAUAUAUCUCUCUCUAUAUAUAUAUAAUGUGCUAGAAAAUUUAUGUAAUAUAUACACUACAACAAAAACGAUCUAUAGCGACACUUUUAAAUGUAGGUACAUGUCAAAAAAGUGCUGCUAGCUAAAAUUACCGACACAGUUAAAAAGUGUUGCUAUAUGUGGGGUCGCUAGGUAUAUAGUGACAGUUAAAGAGUGUCGCUAUAACCUAAAAGAGUGCUGCUAAUUUACCAACACUUAUUUAAGCAUUUAGCAACCGCCAAAACUCUAUCUCGUUGGCUGCGGUGGCGGAGGAGGACGACAGGAAAGGCUCUUCGUCUAGAAUUUCAGUGGAUUAAGUGAAAAGAGAAGAAAAGAUGGUAAUUGAUUUUUCUUUUUUUUUUUCUUUUCUGUUUGUAAUCGGGCCAAAUGGACUGGGUGUGGUGGAUUGAGUAGAGUAAUUUUUUAUUUUUGGUUGGAUUUGGCUUUAUAUUUAGGCAUUAGUAGAUGUUUUUUUAAGUUUUAGCAUAAAUGGGACACUUACUCAAAAGUGUUCCAAAUAUGUGUCCCUAUAACCUAAUUCUAUUGUAGUGUAUAUCUUGGGACUAAAUGUAUAAACCAAUUAAAACUUAUCAUGUUGUAAUAGACUCAAAUCAAGGGUGAUUGAGCUAUUCAUUUAUUUUAUUCGACAAAAUUCGACAAUUUUCAAUGGAAACUUAUCAUUAAACCAGUGGUAAUUUUUGUUGGACAAAAGGUGUAAUUUUUCUUGAUAUAUUUAUUUAUAAUAAAUAAUAAAUAUAGGUGGACCAAAAUGAAAAGAAAAAUUAAUUGAAUGGAUGCUGCAAAAAAAAGUACUUACAAUUAAGAAUUGUUAGCUGUGCUCGCUGAACAGGCACAAGCGAUAUUAAAUACUUUGGAAAUAAAUGUACUUUUUUUUUUUUAUAGUACUUACAAAUUUAAAAAAUAAAAAUAUAUUUUUACUUUAUCAUCCUAUAAUUUCAAUAAAUGUACUGUACCCAUGCACUAUUAUCUUUCUCUCGCUGUAAAAUCUUAUUGUUAAAUAAGAUAAUAAAUUAAGUGAUAUACUUCACAAAUUAUAAAAUAACUCAGCGCAAAUUAUAAACUAGUAAAACGCUAUAUUCUACCUCUCCGUGGUUAAUAAAAUACACGACUUCAUUAUCCUGUUAUUUAUAUAUAAAUUAUAUUAUUUUAGUAUAUAUUCCAAUUAUUGACAGGUUCUCACAGUAAUACAAAAAGAAAAGUGAAGUUAAUUUAGAAUGGGGAUAUAUAUUUUAUGAGUAUGACUUGCGUGCUUUCAAGAGCACGGAGAGCUCUAUACUUUUAAAUUAUUUUUGAUGAUGUGAUAUUCAAUUCGGCGAUCUGUUCUGUUAGCUAUAAUUUAUACCAUUAGAAAUAUUUAGAAAUCAAAUUUUAUAAUUUUUCAACAUCAUUUGCUAGGUGAUCAAAAUGUUUCAAAAAUGACAAUUUUAAUAGUCGGUGUGACACGUUUGUAAAUUCGAACAGUGUAAACAAUCCAAAUUAGGUAAAAUUUGAAUAAAAAUUUUCAUUUAUUAUCAAGAGCAAGAUUAGCACUUCCGAUCUGAAAUAAAAUUUAGAUAUUCUAUUAUUAUUAUUUAUGAAAUUUUUAUUUUCAGUCGUUUAUUUUUUAAACUACUUAUUCACUAGGCAAAUAAAAUUUAAAAAAUUAUAAAAUUUUGUUUCUAGAUAAAUCUAGUAGUUUAGAUCAUAUCAAACGAAGUCGUUCACUAUUUAGAUAAAUAUCAUAAUUUUUCGACAUCAUUUACUUUACGAUCGUAAUAUCUCAAAAUUGAUAACAUUUAAUGACUGAUAUGAGAUAUUUGCUACUUUAACGGGGUAAACGAAUCGAAAUUAGUUGAAUUUUUGAUAAAAAAAUUCUAUUUAUUAUUUAGAUAAAGUUCAAUAAUUCUGAUUUUUAAUUGAAGAAUCCGAUCAUUCAUUUUUAAGAUGCCGUUCAAUUUUGAUUGUUCAUUUUUAUGCCCAUUUGAUUGACUUUAUUAUAAAUUAAAAAAAUAUAUGAAAUUAAUUUUUUUAAAGUUUCAAAAACUCAAAAUCAUUUUUAACAGCGAGAAUCGUCAAUUAGAAAGCUUCAUUACUAAAAAUAAUUUAUGAGUAUUAAAAGCUUUAUACUUAUAAGAGUAUAGUAACCCUAUUUAUAGCCUCUCGAUUCGGAGUAUAUCUAGAUGGUUUUUUUCAUAUGAACUUGCAUGUAGCCUCUUAAAUCUCAAAACUCAUGUUUUCAAAUGAACUUGCAUGUAGACUCACGUUUGAUUGGAGAACUAAAUUUGGGAAAACAACUUUUAUUGUUUCCGAGAAUAGGAGAUAUUCCAGUACAAGAUAGAACAAUUGUAAAUUUAUGUUUGAAUGCAUUCAGAAAUAUUCUAGAGAAUAUUCUUAGUAACGUUUGGCUAAAAAGUGUAGAACAAUGUCUAAAUAUAUUUUUAAAAAUAAAAUAAUUAAUUUAUAUUAGAAUAUUUUAUAUAAAAUUAUUUCUUAUAGUAAUUUAUAAUAUAAUAUUUUAUGUAACAAUUUAAUUUAAAAUAGUAUAUUUAUUUUACUAUAUAUAAUAAUAAUUUAUUUUAUAUAAUUUAUUCGUAACAUAUGUAAUGAUAUCCUUAUAAUUUUAAUUAAUAAUAGUUUAAAUUUCAAUAUAAAUUAAAAAAAUAUAUAAUGCACGAAAAAAUAAUUAUAUAUAUAAUAAUUAUUAUAAAAUAAAAUAAUUAAAUAUUAAUAUAUAAAUAAUAAAACUUAAUAAAAUAAAUUAUAUAUCAAAUUUAAUUAAUUUAUAUUAUAUAAUAAAAUUUAAGUAUAAAUAUAUUAUUAUAAAAAUAAUAUUUAUAUUAAUAUAUUUAUUUAUAUAUCUAUUUAUCAAAUAAAAUAAAGAGAAAAGCAAAGUUGUUCUCAAUUUUCUUAGGAACAAUUUUUAACGGGUUGUUCCAGAAUAAUCCAGAAUAACUCGUUUUGACCGGAACAACCCGCUCUCUCUUGUUCUUCCACUGUUUAGUUACAAUUUCGGGGAUAUCCCGGAUACCAAACGUAGCCUUAAAUCUCAUAACUCAUUCAAACUCCUCACUUCUCCUAAUGCAUUUUCAAUACCCCUCACUUUUCCUAUAGAUGAUUUUCCUCCCAUUAUAAUUAAAAGAAAAAAAAGGUGCUCCUUUUCUCCUCUACAACUAUACAAAAAGAAUCAAAAACUAUUGCUGUCCUGCAGAACAAAUAUCGGACGGUAAGAUAACUGACUUUCAGCAUUGAUUGCUUUCGCCAGACUAAAAAUACGCUCAGAACAACUAUUUACAUACAGAGAUUCUUCAAACUUUUUUAGAGAUUUUCAUUUAAAAAAACAUAAAAGCUAGCAGUGCAGAAUAGAGCACUAUAUGUUAGAUGUGACUCGAAAUUGAUAAUCGACUUCAGUUCGGAAUUUCGACUCGCCGACAAUUUUACGGUACGAUCAAAUUGAAAAAUAAAAUUGUGAAGAAAAAAUGAAUAUAUGUGAUGGAUAGCGGAGGGCUCGGGCCGACAGGCCCAAAUCCGUAGAGGCGAUAGAUUGUGGUUCCUUGUACUUGAACAUUAUAUUUUUUUCUUUCUCGAUAGUAAAGUUCUCUCCUUCCUUGCCCGUUAUUUUUUUCUGCAAAUAAUUUUUCACGUAAAUUUGUGUUUCUCUUUUAUUUCUGCUUAUGGUUUGAUUAUAUUUCGUGUCUAGCAUUUUUGUUUCUGUUUGUGCGUUUGUCGUAACACUAUCGAAAUAGUACUAUCUCACUAACAAACUCUCAAAAUAAUAAUAUAUCGCUAAUUAAAUUACCUAUAAUCACUAAAACCCUUCACUAAUUAAACAAACUACAGCAGUAGCUACAACGACAUAGGCUUUAAGAAGAACAAGCAAAUCAACAAGCAUAAAAAAAAAAAUUUCAAAAAUUAUGAAGAUGCAUGAAUAUCAUGAUCACAUUCCCUCACAGGGGAGAAAAUAAUUGAUUUUCUCUACAACCAGAAUGUUAAAGUCAAUGAGACAAUCGUUGAAUAUUUAAUACUUUCUUUCACGUUUGAGAUCGAGAGGACUUAAAUCAAAUAGGAGAAAAUCAAUUAUGCUAGGAGCGUGAUGUGAUUCCAACUCAUAACCUCAUCCUCCGAUACUAUAUUAAAUUAUAAGAAACAACCGUUAUGCUCUAAAAACUUAAGCUGAUAGAGAAUAAUAUUUUCAUUUAUUUUAUAUUUCGCACAAAAUGAAACAUCCCACACGAAUCUCGUCGACAUCAUCAGAUAAUGAACCUUUUAGUUUAUUGCAAAUAUUUUUUAAUAAAAGAAAGAAAGAAAGAAAGAAAGAGAUUCUUCGGACUAAACACGUCCUGAAUUACUUCCGCAUGCGGAGGCAAAGAUUAGUUGACGAUCGACCGACUUCCCUCUCUGUUGCCAUCCACCCCUAAAUUGCGGUCCGUCUGCAACAGGCCUUAGUUUGGUACAAAGGUGGGGCCCCACAACCUCAUCAAAGAUUCAAAAAGAAAAAAGGAGGAAAAAAAAAAAAAAAAAAAAAAAGCCAAAAAGAAGAGCACGAGAAAACAAUAAAUGCGAAAGGAUAAGUUUCAGCAUGGGAAAAAGUGGGGGGGCCUACGCGCCAUUAAAUCAGCGGCUAUAAAGAGAUCCUCAAAAGGUAGCGGUUUAGCCAACGGUACCAAAGGAGCCGUCCUUCUCUUGGAAGGAAACAUGUGAAAAUUGCAUGAAGACCCCUCAACUAUUUCCCGUUUCUGAAACAAGACCGUCAACUUUACUUUGUUUUUUUUUUUUUUUUUUUUUUUUUUUGUGUGGAGUUGCAUGGAGGACUCCUCAAUUUUUUUUUCUUUUCUUUUCGGAGACAGAAAGGUAACACGUGAUUUAAUUUAUUUAUUUUUUGAAAGUAAAGUAACUGAAAAUAUAAAAUAACUACGUUUCGAAAUCAGAACACAUUUUAUGUUGUUUUUUUUUUCAUUCAUGCUUUCUUAGCUUUCGAUUUUUUUUUUAAUUGAGUGAUUUUAGUAAGUAAAAUUGUGGAUUUUAUCUUAUCCAUAAGUGAUUUCGUCAAAUUCAAUAGUUCUAGUCACUAUUUUAGCCGGUGAAAUUAAGAAUUAAUGGUUAAAAGAAAGUAGAACCAUUAAAUUAUUAUAAUUUUCAAAAUUAUGAGUUGCGAUACUUUAAAACGAACGUUUCGAGAUAGGCGACCACGUUUAAGACUAUCAAUGAGUCAAAUAUAAGUUGGCUGGUUAAAAUAUCGAGCCGAAAAAUGCAACUUAUAUUCGGCUUCUUUAUUAAUAAGUCGAACAUGUGCUAACUCGCGAAUAGUAAAUUAGAUUGUCAGUUACUAAUGAGUGAAAAGUUAGAAAAUUAUUAGAAAAUUGGAAUCUUAAUUUAAUAAUUGAAAUCACAAAAUAUAGACCUAUUUACAAUUGAGUUGUCCUAAAAUUCAAACGGCAAAAAUUUGUCAUAUAUAUAUAUAUAUAUAUAUAUAUAUAUAUAUAUAUAUAUAUAUAUAUAUUAAAAUUCAAGUUAUAUCGAGCCGAACACGAACAAAUUGAUCUCAGUUCGUGUUUUGCUUAUUAAGAUUACGAGAUGAAAAAUUUAACUCGUGUUCGACACGUUUAUUAAACGAGUGACUGAUUUCAAACUUAUUCGAACCGAAAACGAACUGACUCGUGAACAACGAGGUGUUAUUACUUGCCCUAACCUAUGCCACAAGUAUAUUAAUAAAAAGUUCCAAAGUAGAAGUGUCAAUUUCAAAAUUGCCUGUAGUUGAGGGGGUGUUAUUACAUUAUUGGAAGUAGGGUACAGACUGUCUUUAAUAUUCCAGCUUUGAACCAAGAGAAAUUAACAGAAUUAAAUAGAGUGACUGCUUCCUGGCUGCAUGGCCCCCCCUCCCUCAAACCCCUCUGCUGCAGUUCUGCUCCCUUUUUCCCAAGUUUUUGGGCCCCAUUUUGCCCCAACCUACCUUUA